CCUACGGGAGGCAGCAGUGAGGAAUAUUGGUCAAUGGGCGCAGGCCUGAACCAGCCAAGUAGCGUGAAGGAUGACUGCCCUAUGGGUUGUAAACUUCUUUUAUAAAGGAAUAAAGUCGGGUAUGUAUACCCGUUUGCAUGUACUUUAUGAAUAAGGAUCGGCUAACUCCGUGCCAGCAGCCGCGGUAAUACGGAGGAUCCGAGCGUUAUCCGGAUUUAUUGGGUUUAAAGGGAGCGUAGGUGGAUUGUUAAGUCAGUUGUGAAAGUUUGCGGCUCAACCGUAAAAUUGCAGUUGAAACUGGCAGUCUUGAGUACAGUAGAGGUGGGCGGAAUUCGUGGUGUAGCGGUGAAAUGCUUAGAUAUCACGAAGAACUCCGAUUGCGAAGGCAGCCUGCUAAGCUGCAACUGACAUUGAGGCUCGAAAG
rnacentral:rRNA from 1 species